CACGUAGGGUGCGAGCGUUGUCCGGAAUUAUUGGGCGUAAAGAGCUCGUGAGCGGUGUGUCGCGUCGGCCGUGAAAACCUGCAGCUUAACUGUGGGCGUGCGGUCGAUACGGGCAUCACUGGAGUUCGGCAGGGGAGACUGGAAUUCCUGGUGUAGCGGUGAAAUGCGCAGAUAUCAGGAGGAACACCGGUGGCGAAGGCGGGUCUCUGGGCCGAUACUGACGCUGGAGGAGCGAAAAGCGUGGGGAGCGAACAGG
rnacentral:rRNA from 1 species